rnacentral:rRNA from 1 species
GACGAACGCUGGCGGCGUGCUUAACACAUGCCAGUCGAACGGAAAGGCCCCUUUGGGGGUACUCGAGUGGCGAACGGGUGAGUAACACGUGAGUAACCUGCCCUUGACUUCGGGAUAACUUCAGGAAACUGGGGCUAAUACCGGAUAGGAAUCCUUGCUGCAUGGUGGGGGUUGGAAAGCUUCGGCGGUUUUGGAUGGACUCACGGCUUAUCAGCUUGUUGGUGGGGUAGUGGCUUACCAAGGCUUUGACGGGUAGCCGGCCUGAGAGGGCGACCGGCCACAUUGGGACUGAGAUACGGCCCAGACUCCUACGGGAGGCAGCAGUGGGGAAUAUUGCACAAUGGGCGGAAGCCUGAUGCAGCAACGCCGCGUGCGGGAUGACGGCCUUCGGGUUGUAAACCGCUUUCAGCAGGGGCGAAGCUUGUGGUGACGGUACCUGCAGAAGAAGCACCGGCUAACUACGUG